CCAUGCGAGUCGAAUGUAGCAAUACAUGGCGAACUGCUCAGUAACACGUGGACAACCUGCCCUUAGGACGGGGAUAAACCCGGGAAACUGGGUAUAAUACCCGAUAGGUCUCGAUUGCUGGAAUGCAUCGAGAUUUAAAGCUCCGGCGCCUAAGGAUGGGUCUGCGGCCUAUCAGGUAGUAGUGGGUGUAGCGUACCUACUAGCCUACGACGGGUACGGGUUGUGAGAGCAAGAGCCCGGAGAUGGAUUCUGAGACACGAAUCCAGGCCCUACGGGGUGCAGCAGGCGCGAAAACUUUACAAUGCUGGCAACAGCGAUAAGGGAACCUCGAGUGCCAGGUUACAAAUCUGGCUGUCGAGAUGCCUAAAAAGCAUUUCAUAGCAAGGGCCGGGCAAGACCGGUGCCAGCCGCCGCGGUAACACCGGCGGCUCGAGUGGUAACCGUUAUUAUUGGGUCUAAAGGGUCUGUAGCCGGCCGGAUAAGUCUCUUGAGAAAUCUGGCAGCUUAACUGUCAGGCUUUCAGGAGAUACUGUCUGGCUCGAGGCCGGGAGAGGUGAGAGGUACUUCAGGGGUAGGGGUGAAAUCUUGUAAUCCUUGAAGGACCACCAGUGGCGAAGGCGUCUCACCAGAACGGACCUGACGGCAAGGGACGAAAGCUAGGGGCACGAACCGGAUUAGAUACCCGGGUAGUCCUAGCCGUAAACGAUACUCGCUAGGUGUCGGCCACGGUGCGACCGUUGUCGGUGCCGUAGGGAAGCCG
rnacentral:rRNA from 1 species